GGCAGCAGCCUCCUUUUCUCCAUGGUCCCAGUGGCUUUGGAGGCUUGCUGCAGUCGCUCCUCCAGCUCUCGCCAUACAGCAACAGGCGCCCGGGUUUUGCUCACCGGCAAGCACCAGCACACCGCCGGGGUGCCUCCAGUAAGCCCAUGUCGGCUGCGAUGUGCCAUCUUAAGACUCCAUCGUUCAUGCUUAAUUGCUCACCAAGUCACAAGGGGGCACCCAUGGCUAAAGCUUUAAUUAUCCAUGGAGAGCUGCGAGCCUUCGUGUCCCGUCGGGCUUCCUCUCGCCCCUCGGCAGGCUGGGGCUGCGGGGCUGCUGCCUUGCAGGGGGAGCAGGGGUGGCCGCAGAUGCGAGGAGAGGCAGGAGACUCUGAAGUCAGGUCUUGGCAAGGAUUUAAGGAUGUUUCUUCGAUCACCCUUGUAAAUGGGAGGACCAAGCAUUGCUGUGGCCACGUAUCCGGGGACUGGUGCUGUGCUUCUCCUGGGAAGGCUCCUGCUUUGCCCAGUGCUGGCAGUCUCCUUCCUUCAGACAUCUCACUGCAGCCUCUUGCGGUCUCAGGUUGUGGAUGUACCCCUCACAAAUCACAGCGUGUCAGCGGGGACGUGCUGGGCCUGCAGUUAAGUGGCCAAUUUCCUGGAGGCAAACGCCUUCAAGUUCACUGCAGAAAAGGGUUAGUUCCAACCUCUUCCCUCCUACAAAAGCUUUUUGUCUCCUGCUGUGUUGGCUGGGGAGCAGCUCCCAUCGCAGCUCCUCACUGAGCACCGCAGGAGCGGGAUGGUGCUGAAGCUGUGCGGCACACGAGGCACUGUCCCUCAAAGGGGGAAAAUUCAUGUGUGGGGUCUUUCUGGGACCUGGGAGCACCAGGCUGAUGUGAAGCCUACCUGACCUUGAUUUCCUCGUAGCCGCAGCCCUAGCCUGCAGUGGAGCCCGUCCUUUGUCUGCCUGUACGUGGUGUUCAGCAGCCACGCCGGAGUGGUGCGGGUGUGAAACGUGUUCCCUCUGUCAAAUGUUUACUCCUCCAGGUCCUAAAGGUUGGGCUGUGGUUUUGUGCACGAAUAUCCUCGCUCCAGUCUAAAUGAGGGUUUUGCGGUCCAGCCUGUUAUUGUUUGGAAAGGGCACUGGGAACUGCUGCACAAACACGGCUACGUGACCGCAGUGGAUGGUGAUGGGCUUCUGGGGCCUUAGGGUAAACACAGCCAAGGUGGCGCAGCUUCCCCCAGCCCCUCAAAAACAUCUUCUGGUUUGGGGGGGGACAAAGAUGGGGACUUCCCAUGCUGAUGAAAUGAAAAUGAAUGAGAAUGUUUGAUGGAUGUGUCAUUUCUGGUAGCCCUGUCCUUUGCCUUCCCAGCUCGGUAUCACUUUGUGACAAUGCCCAAGCUGUUGUGCUGCCUGCACCUCAUCUCUCUCGUUAAUUGUGCUCCUCUCUGCCUUUCUGAGGCUGUCACAAGGCCAUGUUCAUGGUUUGUGGGGCCCUGCGAGAGCAGUGCACAGGACAGGCCACCAACCACCAGCAGCUGUAGGACAUAACAGCCCCAUUAGCAGCAUGCUCGGCCGGUGCCACGUGGCGAUGCUCGCAGCACGGGAUCCCUCCAGAGCUGCCGGUGCUCAGCAGCCUUCUCGGGCUCCCAGGGAACACCCAGCCGAUGCUUCACCUUCUCUAACCCUUUUACAUCGCCUUAGACAUAUGGGCUUUGAUGUGACUGCAGCUGUUGGCGGCGUGGAGUCUGCCCAGAGGGCAGCGAGCUGCCCACAAGUGUG
ensembl:lncRNA